GUCUAUGGCCAUACCACCCGGAAGGUGCCCGAUCUCUUAUGAUCUCGGAAGCUAAGCAGGGUCGGGCCUGGUUAGUACUUGGAAGGGAGACUAUCAGUGGGUUUCACUGCACCAGCCA
ensembl:rRNA 5S_rRNA 5S ribosomal RNA